UACGAAGGGGGCUAGCGUUGCUCGGAAUUACUGGGCGUAAAGCGCACGUAGGCGGAUAUUUAAGUCAGGGGUGAAAUCCCAGAGCUCAACUCUGGAACUGCCUUUGAUACUGGGUAUCUUGAGUAUGGAAGAGGUAAGUGGAAUUGCGAGUGUAGAGGUGAAAUUCGUAGAUAUUCGCAGGAACACCAGUGGCGAAGGCGGCUUCCUGGACACCAACUGACGCUGAGACGCGAAAGCGUGGGGAGCAAACAGG
rnacentral:rRNA from 1 species